rnacentral:rRNA from 1 species
CUCAAUGAAUUUUAUAUAGCCGCAACAUUGUGCUAAGGUAGCAUAAUCAUUUGUUUUUUAAUUAAAAACUAGAACGAAAGAUUUAACAUUUUAAUUUCUUUCUUACAUAUAAAAAUUUAACCUAUUUUAAAUAUUAAAAAAUAUUUAUUAAUCAAAAAGACGACAAGACCCUAUUGAACUUUACUAAAGUUUAACUGGGGUAGUUAAUUAAAUAUAAUUUUAAUUUAAAUUUUAUAAACACCUAAUAAAAUUAAAAUAAUCAAGUUACCAUAGGGAUAACAGCGUAAUAAAUUUCACAAGAUCUUAUUUAAAAAUUUGUUUACGACCUCGAUGUUGAAUUAAUAUUCUAUUAAAUGCAAUAAUUUAAUAAAGAAAGUC